rnacentral:misc_RNA from 1 species
UGCAGGGUCAUGGUGGCCGUGGUGGUUGAUGCUGAUGAAAGAGAGAAAAAGCGGAAACCCAACAGAAUCAAAACAAGCAUAGAAUUUAAGAUUCCAAGCUUGUUUGAACCUGCAAAUCUUGGGAUCUCCUAUCAGCGCCGCAACCCCCAAGUUGGCCUGGAUUCGCCUCCCAAAAGAUUAUACAAGCAUAUUAUCUGUGGGC